UGGGGAAUCUUGCACAAUGGGGGAAACCCUGAUGCAGCGACGCCGCGUGAGCGAUGAAGCCCUUCGGGGUGUAAAGCUCUUUCGGCAGGAACGAUUAUGACGGUACCUGCAGAAGAAGCUGCGGCUAACUACGUGCCAGCAGCCGCGGUAAUACGUAGGCAGCAAGCGUUGUUCGGAGUUACUGGGCGUAAAGAGUGUGUAGGCGGUUUGCCAAGUUUGGUGUGAAAUCUCCCGGCUUAACUGGGAGGGUGCGCCGAAAACUGGCAGGCUGGAGUGCGGGAGAGGAGAGCGGAAUUCCUGGUGUAGCGGUGAAAUGCGUAGAGAUCAGGAGGAACACCUGCGGUGUAGACGGCUCUCUGGACCGCAACUGACGCUGAGACACGAAAGCGUGGGUAGCAAACA
rnacentral:rRNA from 1 species